rnacentral:rRNA from 1 species
CGGAACGUGCCCAAUCGUGGGGGAUAGCUCGGCGAAAGCCGGAUUAAUACCGCAUACGAUCUACGGAUGAAAGCAGGGGACUUGCAAGAGCCUUGCGCGAAUGGAGCGGCCGAUGGCAGAUUAGGUAGUUGGUGGGGUAAAGGCUCACCAAGCCGACGAUCUGUAGCUGGUCUGAGAGGACGACCAGCCACACUGGGACUGAGACACGGCCCAGACUCCUACGGGAGGCAGCAGUGGGGAAUUUUGGACAAUGGGCGCAAGCCUGAUCCAGCAAUGCCGCGUGCAGGAUGAAGGCCUUCGGGUUGUAAACUGCUUUUGUACGGAACGAAAAGGCUCUGGUUAAUACCUGGGGCUCAUGACGGUACCGUAAGAAUAAGCACCGGCUAACUACGUGCCAGCAGCCGCGGUAAUACGUAGGGUGCGAGCGUUAAUCGGAAUUACUGGGCGUAAAGCGUGCGCAGGCGGUGAUGUAAGACAGUUGUGAAAUCCCCGGGCUCAACCUGGGAACUGCAUCUGUGACUGCAUCGCUGGAGUGCGGCAGAGGGGGAUGGAAUUCCGCGU